GCGUUCACAGGAGUCCCCUGACACCUCCCACUCGGAAGAUAGCUAACGGGGGUCCUGCCAACCCUUCCCAUCCAACUUCCAUCUGAAAAGGAUUUUCUGCUAAAGUUGGGUCCAUGGCCAUCCAGCACCUGUAAGGCCGGCAGGAGCGUCUGCCCUCUACUCAGUUAAAGCCUGAAGUCGUUUCCUUUCGAUGGCCCUUAGGAGGCCCAAAAGAGGGGCGACAGAACAUGAUGUUGACACGGGCUGGGCGCCCCCAGAAGCCCGGGAACAAACGUUUCUACUUUCCAGGUCCACUGGUGUUUGGUGUACCCAUGUGACUAAUUUGUCCAAAGAGAGGUCUCAGCUGAAAUGAAACCUCCUCAGAAAAAUUUGUUCCUGACAAAUUAUAACUCAAAAAUCAAAAAUUUCUAAGGCCUUUGUUAUUCUCUUUAUCACAGCAUUGUACUCAUUUUCUUCUUAGUACUUAGAAACGUCUAUAAUUGUUUUACUUCUUUGUUUACCAUUAAAUGUCUGUAUCCUUUA
rnacentral:lncRNA from 1 species